rnacentral:tRNA from 1 species
AAUUUAUAUAGUUUAACACUAUAAAACACUACAUUUUCACUGUAGAAAUAAAGAAAACUUUUAUAAAUA